rnacentral:rRNA from 1 species
UAAAGCAAGAAAGGGCGUAUGGGGAAUGCCUAGGCACACUCCGGCGAAGAAGGACGCAGCAAACAGCGAAAUGCGACGGUGAGCGGUAAGCACGUGAAGAGCCGUCGAUAUCCGAAUGGGGGAACCCACACGGAGUCAUAUCCGUGUAUCACAUGUCGAAUACAUAGACAUGAUGAGGCGAGACGCAGGGAACUGAAACAUCUAAGUACCUGCAGGAAGAGAAAAUAAGAAUGAUUUUCUGAGUAGCGGCGAGCGAAAGGGAAAGAGCCCAAACCGAUCUUAGGAUCGGGGUAGUAGGAUCAUCGAGAAAUCUGACAGAGGAUCAUAGAGGAAUCACAUGGGAAGGUGAGCGAGAGAGGGUGAGAGCCCCGUACUCGAAAUGAGAGACUGGAGAGAGAUGACACCUGAGUAGGGCGGGACACGAGAAAUCCUGUCUGAAUCGGCCGGGACCAUCCGGCAAGGCUAAAUACGAGAGAGUGACCGAUAGUGAACCAGUACCGUGAGGGAAAGGUGAAAAGAACCCCGGGAGGGGAGUGAAAGAGAACCUGAAACCAUAUGCCUACAAGAAGUCAGAGCCCGUUAAAGGGUGAUGGCGUGCCUUUUGUAGAAUGAACCGGCGAGUUACUGUAUGGAGCGAGGUUAAGCAGGAUAUGCGGAGCCGAAGCGAAAGCGAGUCUUAAGAGGGCGAGAGUUGCAUGCAGUAGACCCGAAACCGGGUGAUCUAGCCAUGACCAGGUUGAAGUUGGGGUAAAACCCGAUGGAGGACCGAACCGACCCCCGUUGAAACGUUGGCGGAUGAGUUGUGGCUAGGGGUGAAAUUCCAAUCGAACCCGGAGAUAGCUGGUUCUCCCCGAAAUAGCUUUAGGGCUAGCGUCGAGGUAAGUUGCGUGAAGGUAGAGCACUGAAUAUGUGAUGGCCCCAUCUCGGGGUACUGAGCAUAAUCAAACUGCGAAUGUCACGCCAACAUGCUCGGCAGUCAGACAGCGGGUGAUAAGGUCCGUUGUCAAGAGGGAAACAGCCCAGACCAUCAGCUAAGGUCCCAAAAUGUAUGCUAAGUGGAAAAGGAUGUGGAGAUGUACAGACAACUAGGAGGUUGGCUCAGAAGCAGCCAUCCUUUAAAGAGUGCGUAACAGCUCACUAGUCGAAUGACUCUGCGCCGAUAAUUUACCGGGGCUAAGCAUACUACCGAAGCUAUGGAUCCCAAGGGAUGGUAGGGGAGCGUUCCAUGAACGGAGAAGUACGACCGAAAGGACGUGUGGAGAUCAUGGAAGAGAGAAUGCCGGUGUGAGUAGCGGAACGUGGGUGAGAAUCCCACGCACCGAAAACCCAAGGUUUCCAGAGGAAGGUUCGUCCGCUCUGGGUAAGUCGGGACCUAAGGCGAGGCCGAAAGGCGUAGUCGAUGGACAACAGGUAGAGAUUCCUGUACCCGUGUAUAUGUGAAGGAAUGACGGAGAGAGGAAGCUGCAGCCAGCGGCUGGAAGAGCUGGUGCAAGCGAGAUAUCGGGAUGGCAGGCAAAUCCACCAUCCGAAACGAGAAGGCGUGAAGCGUACGGAAAGCUACGGCGAGUACGGAAGGCAGUGGAGGAACUUCCAAGAAAAGUUUCUAACGUUAAGUAUAUAUGGCCCGUACCGAAAAUGGACACACAUGGGUGAGGAGAGAAUCCUAAGGUGAGCGAGAGAACUAUAGCUAAGGAACUCUGCAAAAUGACUCCGUAACUUAGGGAGAAGGAGUGCUCAUAGAGAUAUGAGCCGCAGUGAAACGGCCCAAGCGACUGUUUACCAAAAACACAGCUCUCUGCUAAGCCGCAAGGCGAAGUAUAGGGGGUGACGCCUGCCCGGUGCUGGAAGGUUAAGGGGAGGGGUUAACGCAAGUGAAGCCCUGAACUGAAGCCCCAGUAAACGGCGGCCGUAACUAUAACGGUCCUAAGGUAGCGAAAUUCCUUGUCAGGU